ensembl:lncRNA
UGUAGAUGUGUAGAUGGGGUUGGAGGAUGUGUAGAUGGGGUUGGAGGAUGUGCAGAUGGGGUUGGAGAAUUUGUAGAUGGGGUUGUAGGAUGUGUAGAUGGGGUUGUAGGAUGUGUAGAUGGGGUUGUAGGACGUGUAGAUGUGUAGAUGGGGUUGGAGGAUGUGUAGAUGGGGUCGGAGGACAUGUAGAUGGGUUGGAGUGUAGAUGGAUGGGGUUGGAGGACAUGUAGAUGGGUUGGAGGAAGUGUAGAUGGGGUUGGAGGACGUGUAGAUGGGUUGGAGGACGUGUAGAUGGGGUUGGAGGACGUGUAGAUGGGUUGGAGGACGUGUAGAUGGGGUUGGAGGACGUGUAGAUGGGGUUGGAGGACGUGUAGAUGGGGUUGGAGGACGUGUAGAUGGGGUUGGAGGACGUGUAGAUGGGGUUGGAGGACGUGUAGAUGGGGUUGGAGGAUGUGUAGAUGGGGUUGGAGGACGUGUAGAUGGGGCUGUAGGAUGUGUAGAUGGGGUUGGAGGAUGUGUAGAUGGGGUUGGAGGAUGUGUAGAUGGGGUUGGAGGACGUGUAGAUGGGGUUGGAGGACGUGUAGAUGGGGUUGGAGGACAUGUAGAUGGGGUUGGAGGGUUGGAGGACGUGUAGAUGGGGUUGGAGGACGUGUAGAUGGGGUUGGAGGACGUGUAGAUGGGUUGGAGGACGUGUAGAUGGGGUUG